CGAGUGUGGUGCUAUACACCACUAUGUCGUCCAAGUACACGACUACGAAGCGGUCGAGAAAUGGUUGGAGUACCUUGUUCAUAAGCGUGCAAAAUGUGGCGGGUGCAUUAGUAAGUCCGGAAGGCAUCACAAGGAACUCGAAAGACCCAUAUCUUGUAGUGCAUGCCGUCUUUGGUUCAUCUCCUUCGGCGAUGCGCACUUGGUAGUACCCGGAGCGUAAGUCGAGUUUGGUGAAGUACCGCGCCUUUCCAAGCUGGUCGAACAAGUCCGUGAUCAGUGGAAUAGGAUACUUGUUCUUGAUGGUGAUCUUGUUGAGCGCUCUAUAGUCGAUGCACAUCCGCAGCGAUCCAUCUUUCUUCUUUUGAAAUAGGACUGGUGCACCGAAUGGGGCCUUUGAGGGACGGAUGUAUCCCGCAUCCAACAAAUCUUUGAGUUAUCUUCGCAACUCUUCAAGUUCGGGGGGCGCCAUGCCGUAGGGUGCCAAGGCUGGUGGCUUUGCGCCUUGUUCCAGCUCGAUGGCAUGAUCUACCUCUCGUCGAGGUGGGAGCUUCUUCGGAAGUUUGGCCGGCAUCACAUCCUUGUACUUAUUAAGGAUGGCUUGAAUUUGUGGAGGGACUUGGUUUGGCGAUAUUCCGCUAUCUCCUUCUUCGUUCAGUUCUCGAAUGGAGACCAAGAAGCUUGGGUCCUUCUUGAACGCCUUCUUGAAUUGCAUGGCGGAGAGGGUCUGUUCCCCGGGCUUGCCUCUCUCCACGGGUACCAUGCAUGACUUGCUCCCGUCGAGUAUGCUUAGGGAGUUGGUAGCAGGCAACGGGAAGGCAUGGGUUUUGUCGAAGAAUUCCAUGCCAAGGACCAUCUUGAAGUCGUCCAUGGGUACAAUAGAGAAGAGAGUAUGCUUAGGGAGUUGGUAGCAGGCAGCGGGAAGGCAUGGGUUUGGUCGAAGAAUUCCAUGCUAUGGACCAUCUUGAAGUCGUCCAUGGGCACAAUAGAGAAGUCAAGCUUUCCGCUCCACGUUCCAAGUGUUAACUGCAC
rnacentral:lncRNA from 1 species